rnacentral:lncRNA from 1 species
UUUAUUUGUAGAAGUUUGUUAUAGCCUUUAAUCAGAGAGAGAAGCUGUUGCCCAGAAACAGUGAGUAGACACACAGGCAUGCCAACCUGCGGGAAAGAUUUUGUUCCAAUGCGCAGAAAAAGGGAAGUCUCAAAAAGCGGGGGAAAUAAAGUGUGCUCCAAAGAAAAACACUGACUUGCAGAUAUAUGAGUCAGAGCUGAGACUGCAUUCCUUUUGUCACAGUCUCUCUUGGGAGUCGUAGAUUCCGGGAUGUGGCUAUUUUUCACAGCUCUGGGAAACUGGGGGACAGAUUACUAAACGGAUGAAUCACGUCCAAGAGAAAUACUUUCGUGUCAUCAGGUUUGAUCCUGGUCAACAGAAUGAGGUAGUGGGUCUGACUGUGCUAGAAAUCCUGAUUUGAACCGGGAAUGAACCAUGUUCGGGGGUUGUGUUUCAAGGAAAAGGCGGAGGAGAUCGUUGGCAGGAUGGAAUGUGGAUGGAAUGACAGUUGGGGGAUGACGGCUGGGGAAUUUUGACAGUUGGAAGAGAGAGAGAGAGAGAUAAGAGGGUGGAGAUUAGAGGGUAAGUUUAACUGGGUGGGAAAAUUUGAGUUGUUCUUGCUACUUCUAAAUGCAUUGAUUGCAGACGUGAAUUUGUUUUCCUUGUUCCUAUGCAAUCUUGCCUAAUGAACACAUUUUGGAAAACCUAAAAGAUCUUCGUUUUCCCUAAUAUAAUGCAAUUUUCUCUGUUACUUUUUUUGCUACUAUGUGCAUGUUCAUGCACACUUUAGCUUAGUAAAUACAUUUCUGGCUGGGGAACUGCCCUGAAAAAUUCAGAGAAGUGCAAACUUCAAAGGAUGGCCGUGAUUGGCUUCACAUCUUGUUCCAGAAAGUGCAAAUUACAUCGGUUCACCUCUAAAUGUGAAUGGAAUCCAAUUUCUCCCCCAACCCGCAGUGCCCAAACAGAUGCCAGUUCCUCUCCCAACUGCAGCAAACUGAGCACCAAUGUCUGAAAGAAAAUCCCAGUUGCCUUCAGCUGAACAUGGUUAGAAUCCUCAGGAUUCCUAAAGGAAUGGAAGGAUUGCAGCCAUGUUCAAGGGAAGGCAGUUCUCUGAAGACACAGGUUGGAAGAAGAGGGGCAGAGUUUGAGCCCUCGUGGGCCCAUUUGAAUGCCCAUGAAGAGCUUGUGACAACUCCGAAUCAAUUGAGACUGGUCUGCAGAGAGAAAUCAAAGAUCACAUGAGAGAUACAGAAAAGAACAUAAGAUGGAAAUUCAUUGGACAGUUUCAUAGGAUCUUAGAGUUGGAGGUAACCCAAGGAUCAUCUAGUCCAACCUGCUGCAAUGCCAGAAUCUCACCUAAAGCAUCCAUGACAGAUGGCCAUCCAACCUCUGCUUAAAAACCUCCAGGGAAGGAGAGCCCACCAACUCUCAUGGGCGUCUGUUCCAUUGCUGAACAGCUUUUACUAUCAGAAAGCUUUUCCGAAUGUUAAGUAGGAAUCUCCUUUCUUCCAACUUGAAGCCAUGGUUCAUGUCCUACCCUCCAGAGCAGGAGAAAACAAGCUUGCUCCCUCUUCCAUGUGACAGCCCUUGAGAUAUUUGAUGAUGGCUAUCGUAUCUCCUCUCAGUCUCCUCUUUUCCAGGUUAAACAUACCCAGCUCCAUCAAGCGCUCCUCAUAAGGCUUAGUUUCCAGACCCUUGAUCAUCUUGCUUGUCCUCCUCUGCACACGUUCCAAAUUGUGGGGCCCAAAAUUGGACACAGUGUUCCAAGUGUGGUCUGACUAAAGCAGAAUAAGUUAAGUAAAGGUAAAGGGACCCCUUACCAUUAGGUCCAGUCGUGACCGACUCUGGGGUUGCGGCACUCAUUUCGCUUUAUUGGCCGAGGGAGCCGGCAUACAGGUCAUGUGGCCAGCAUGACUAAGCUACUUCUGGCAAACCAGAGCAGCGCACGGAAACGCCGUUUACCUUCCUGCCGGAGCAGUACCUAUUUAUCUACUUGCACUUUGACGUGCUUUCAAACUGCUAGGUGGGCAGGAGCAGGGACCAAGCAACGGGAGCUCACCCCGUCGUGGGGAUUCGAACCGCCGACCUUCUGAUCGGCAAGUCCUAGGCUCUGUGGUUUAACCCACAGCGCCACCCACGUCCCACCAGAAUAGGCAGAAUAGAGUGGUACUAUUAUUUCCCUUGAUCUGGAAACUAUACUUCUGUUGCUGCAACCUAGAAUAGCAUUAGCUUUUUUCGCUGCUGUUUGUCUCUGGGUCCACCUCCUUACUUAGUCAUGAAUUCAUUGUACAGUCCUCAUCGAAAUCUAUGCAAGUCUCUGUUCCCUAUCUGCUAAAAUACCUGUUGUGCAGGUGUAAGGUGAAGGGAACACUGAAAAGGAUGCGGGACUUGAAUAUUCAUGUCACCUUAGUCCUUAGAGAUCCUACAUACAAAUGCAUUGUAGUGUUUUAUUCGUUGUCUUAUGUAGGGCCUAGAACAACCUGAUUUGCUUCCAUUGAACUAGUCCCUGGGGCUUAAAAUGGUAUCAUGUUGCUUUUUGCUUUUGCUUCAACUGGAUUUCUUCUGCCUUUGACAUUUCUACUGCACUCCCCCCCGCCACCCCCCCAGCUACAAUUUCUAUUUUUAUCUCAACCUUCAAUAGUUAGGUGCUUUCUUUAAAAGGUUUCGGUUAUGCUGAAAGAACAAACAAAAUCAAACUGCACCCAUGUUGUGCUUUCUUGAGAACUCUUACUGGCUUGCUUAAACUUUGUGGUUGUGAAUCUCUGCAGGCCCAAUGCAAAACUACUUGUCCUUCCCCGCAGAGGGGGAGCUACUAAUUUGGGAACGCCUUCUUCCAAAGUCAGUGGGAUUUGAGACUUCCUCUUCAUGGUAUGCUAACAGCAGUGAGGAACCUUUUCCAGAACAUCAGGAGAAACUUCCUGAUGGUAAGAGCACUAUGACAGUGGAAUAAUAAAUAAUAAUAAUAAUAAUAAUAAUAAUAAUAAUAAUUUAUUUAUACCCCUGCCACUCUGGGUGGCUUCCAGCAAAUGAUUAAAAAGGCAUUAAAACAUCAGACAUUAGAAACUUCCCUAAACAAGGCUGCCUUCAGGUGUCUUCUAAACGUCAGAUAGUUGCUUAUUUCCUUGACAUCUGAUGGGAGGACAUUCCACAGGACAGGCGCCAACACCGAGAAGGCCCUUUGCCUGGUUCCCUGUAACUUUGCUUCUUGUGGUGAGGGAACCAGCAGAAGGCCCUCAGAGGAGGACCUCAGUGUCCAGGCUGAACAAUGGGGGUGGAGACGCUUCUUCAGGUAUACUGGGCCAAGGCCGUUUAGGGCUUUAAACCAGUUUUGAAGAUAGUGGUGGGCUUUCCUUCACUUGAAGUCUUCAGUCAGAGACUAGGCAGUCACAUGUUGGUGAUGUUCUAGCUCUGGAUUACUUGUACUGAGUAGGACUUGGUGUUCUUGAGAAGCUGCCCACUGCCCACACUCCAGGGAUGUUUCCACCAUUUACAGGGAGAGAAAACACAUACACAGUGAGAAUUAAUAGGGCUAAGUGUCUGCGUUUUAACUUGUGCUUUGGGGAGGAGCAAACGUUUCAUCUUGCAAAAGUCCAGGUACCUGCAUGGAUUCCCUAUGAAAUGGGCAGUGUUGAGCAAUGGAUGCAUCUGACCCCAAGCUAGUUAAGACAAGGGAAAUAGGGGGAGCAGGACAAACAUGGGUCUACUCAGGUUGACAUAUCCCUGUGAAAAAUAUUCAACAUACUGACUAGGGCAUGCAGCCUUGGGUAUUGCACAGAUGAAGAGAUGCUGGAGUGAGUUGGUCCAAUCAAAUUACAUGGGGAGGAAUCAGACUGUGCCUUCACCUGCCACUUUGAGAACCAUUAGACUUCAGUGCUUCAUUUUAAAUGCCUCUGAAAGACAAAGUUGUGUUCUGCCUUCAGGGAGCUAAAGGCAGAAAGGGAGCUGGAAAAAAUUAUAUUUACUACCAGUCAAGCUGUAUCUCUUGCUCCAGUUAGCAUAACUAUGCUCAUAAGUGGCCAUUAUUCUAUAAGUGCUCCCUUAAAUUAUCUGUGAGAAACCCAGUUCAACACAUCUUCAGUACUAAUGCAAGACUCCAGCCUGAUGGCUGGUAGAGGAGCUUCUGAGAAGAGCCUAGGAGUGGCAUGAAACACAGAAGCCACCAAGAGACUUUCAUAUCAGCUGGUGCCGUGCCAUCCUGGUCCAGAUACCUACAAGGAAGACAUAAUACUAGUUUGGAAGCUUUCUAUGGCCGGUGGAAUGACCACCCUGUAGCAGUUGUUGGGAGCAGAAAACACAGAUGACUGUUAUCAAAUGCAGAGAUUGCCUUCCAACGUUGCUCACAUGCCAUGAAGUGCAAAAAUGCCCCAAGAGACAAAUGCCAUAAAUGCUUACUAAUGAUUGACAGGUGGGCAAGGCUCACUGGGACAGCCCUGAUGGGACAGAUUGAGAGGUCUUGCAGACUGGAUAAGACUGGAUACGGCUGAAGGUUUCCCUGCGUACCUGAUUUCACUAGCAAAAAAAGGAUGGUGGUCCUGAAUAUCCCACUAUUCAGCUCCAUUGGAUAAUCCCAGUAAACAACAUUAUAUGUGAGGUAGAGAAAAAAUAAGUUUAUGUGCCUCUGUCAUGCCCCUCCUUACUCGCUUUUCCCUCUAAGUUUAAAAACAAAAACCUUCUGUUGCCCAGAAGAAGAAAAUAGUGUCCACACUUGUUUGGUUAUCUAUUAUCUUUCCAAAAGAAUCCCAGGAUGGCUUCUAAAACACAAACCAAACACAAAACAAACAUUUGGAGUCAAAACUAAAACCACACCUUAAUAACAGCAAGCCCAUAAAGGUAGCUUUGCCGUGCAAUUCUAUGUGUGCCUAUGCAGAUAUAAACCCCACUGAGUUACUCCCAGGUAAGCGCGUGGAAGGUUUCACUGUUAAAAUAAUCAUUCUUCAAAGCAGGAGCAAAUAAAACCGCACCAAUCACCUCAAGCUGGAAGUACAAGUAAAGAGGUCUUCACCCUCCAGCGAAACCAAGUGAGCAGUUUGGAGACUUGCAGUGGGAACUUGAAGGGUUUGCUAAAUUGGAUUCCUCCCAUUAAAAGUGUUCAUAACUUGAAGUGGAGUUAUGUAUUUUUCAUCUGAAAAUACUGAACGCUGCCCCCGCUGCAGUGGGGUAGAACAUGGGUGAAGUGUUCCCUAAGCACCCAUGAACCUGUCAUUAAAGGAGUCGUGAGUUUUCCAGUUGGGGGAUUACAUGUUCCUUAAUGUUACAGGAUGUAUCACUUGCAGAGAAUUUCUGCCACCGCAAGCUAAGAAAACAAUAAAAAAAAAAUGUAUUAAAUAGCAG